GACGAACGCUGGCGGCGUGCCUAAUACAUGCAAGUCGAGCGAAGUUUUUCUGGUGCUUGCACUAGAAAAACUUAGCGGCGAACGGGUGAGUAACACGUAAAGAACCUGCCUCAUAGACUGGGACAACUAUUGGAAACGAUAGCUAAUACCGGAUAACAGCAUUAACUGCAUGGUUGAUGUUUAAAAGUUGGUUUUGCUAACACUAUGAGAUGGCUUUGCGGUGCAUUAGCUAGUUGGUGGGGUAAAGGCCUACCAAGGCGACGAUGCAUAGCCGACCUGAGAGGGUGAUCGGCCACACUGGGACUGAGACACGGCCCAGACUCCUACGGGAGGCAGCAGUAGGGAAUCUUCCGCAAUGGGCGAAAGCCUGACGGAGCAACGCCGCGUGAGUGAAGAAGGACUUCGGUUCGUAAAGCUCUGUUGUUAGGGAAGAAUGAUUGUGUAGUAACUAUACACAGUAGAGACGGUACCUAACCAGAAAGCCACGGCUAACUACGUG
rnacentral:rRNA from 1 species